CUGCAAGCUCCGCCUACGAGAUUCUGGUGAGUCUUGUGCCUCACCCUCCCAAGUAGGUGGGAUUACAGGCGCCCACCACCACAUAAUUUGUGUGUGUCUAUAUAUAUGUAUAUAUAUGUAUAUAUGUAUAUACGUGUAUAUAUACAUAUAUAUGUAUAUAUAUAGACACAUACACGUUUUGGGGUUUUUUUGUUUUGUUUUGUUUUUCUUGAGACGGAGUCUCGCUCUGUUGCCAGGUGAGUACUGUGGCGUGAUCUCGGCUCACUGUAAUCUCCGCUUCCCGGGUUCAAGCAAUUCUCCUGCUUCAGCCUCUGGAGUAGCUGGGACUACAGGUGCGCGCCACCAAGCCCAGCUAAUUUUUGUAUUUUUAGUAGAGAUGGGGUUUCACCAUGUUGGCCAGGAUGGUCUCAAUUUAUUGACUUUGUGAUCUGCCCACCUCGGCCUCCCAAAGUGCUGGGUUUACAGGCAUGAGCCCCAGCGUCCAGCCCCAUCUGCAUUUCUGUGAUGUCUUUGUAAGUUCUGGGUCCCAGGCUGGGAGCCGGAAGUUACAGUCUGCUUGCGUCGCUGUUCGACCUGUAGAGGGGACUUAUCUUGCUCUACAAACUUUUUUCUUAUUGGGAGAGUUUUUUGUGAUUGGCUUUUAACCUCUUGUUCUGCUUCUAGUGGAAUCCCCCAAAGAAGGUAAAGGGAGCAAGCCUUCCCCACUGUCUGUGAAGAACACCAAGAGGAGGCUGGAGGGCGCCAAGAAAGCCAAGGCGGACAGCCCCGUGAACGGCUUGCCAAAGGGGCGAGAGAGUCGAAGUCGGAGCCGGAGCCGUGAACAGAGCUACUCAAGGUCCCCAUCCCGAUCAGCGUCUCCUAAGAGGAGGAAAAGUGACAGCGGCUCCACAUCUGGUGGGUCCAAGUCGCAGAGCCGCUCCCGGAGCCGGAGUGACUCCCCACCGAGACAGGCCCCCCGCAGCGCUCCCUACAAAGGCUCUGAGAUUCGGGGCUCCCGGAAGUCCAAGGACUGCAAGUACCCCCAGAAGCCACACAAGUCUCGGAGCCGGAGUUCUACCCGUUCUCGAAGCAGGUCACGGGAGCGUGUGGAUAAUCCGGGAAAAUACAAGAAGAAAAGUCAUUACUACAGAGAUCAGCGACGGGAGCGCUCGAGGUCAUAUGAACGCACAGGCCGUCGCUAUGAGCGGGACCACCCUGGGCACAGCAGGCAUCGGAGGUGAGGCGGGGUUGCAGUGACUGGCGGCCGCAGGCCCUUCCCUGGGGGGUACCUGAUGGCUGCCCUUUGACCCCUGGGUGUGCUCUCUCAGCGCAAGUGGCCCUAGAGCAGGAUUCUUUUUGGAAAUGUCUGUCGACUGGACCUUGGUGGAUUUGGAAAUGGAACUGAGGGACCGGUGACACGUGCUUCAGACCGGUCUGGGGUGUGGCGCACACCUGGGCCCGUGCAGGGCCCAGCUCGGCAGCAGCUCUGAGGGCAGCUCAAUGAAAUAGUGAAUGCACACGCCCUUGUUGGUGUGGCCUGGCAUGGCCUGGCGUGGCCUGGUGCUAUCGGCAGCCGCUCUCCACUCCCUGACUGAUACUCAAUUACGUGAAGCCAAGAAAGACGAUUUUUAGAACCUUUGCCUAUAUUAGGUUGUACUUAUGUACAUAUUUUGCAGUGUUUCACAGGAGAAAAUGGCCUUAAUUGCCCCUUAUUCUCUCUCCACGUUGUAAAUAAACAUGUGUUUAAUACAAGUUAAAGCUAUAUAUGAAAACUCAGAACUUGAAUCCUGUCAGCUUAAAACUUGUGUAGGGAAUCCUGACUUUUAAAAUGUGAGGGUAUUUGGAUCUGUGUUGAAAGUCAUAUAUUUUUAUCUGUGCAGUGCUGAGUGCAGGCCACCAGCUCCUAAAUAGAGGUUCCCUAAAUGCGCGUAUGACAUGGUGAAUAAACACAACUCUCUCCACUCAGGA
rnacentral:sRNA from 1 species